GACGAACGUUGGCGGCGUGCUUAACACAUGCAAGUCGAACGGAAAGGCCCUGCUUUUGUGGGGUGCUCGAGUGGCGAACGGGUGAGUAACACGUGAGUAACCUGCCCUUGACUUUGGGAUAACUUCAGGAAACUGGGGCUAAUACCGGAUAGGAGCUCCUGCUGCAUGGUGGGGGUUGGAAAGUUUCGGCGGUUGGGGAUGGACUCGCGGCUUAUCAGCUUGUUGGUGGGGUAGUGGCUUACCAAGGCUUUGACGGGUAGCCGGCCUGAGAGGGUGACCGGCCACAUUGGGACUGAGAUACGGCCCAGACUCCUACGGGAGGCAGCAGUGGGGAAUAUUGCACAAUGGGCGGAAGCCUGAUGCAGCAACGCCGCGUGCGGGAUGACGGCCUUCGGGUUGUAAACCGCUUUCGCCUGUGACGAAGCGUGAGUGACGGUAAUGGGUAAAGAAGCACCGGCUAACUACGUGCCAGCAGCCGCGGUGAUACGUAGGGUGCGAGCGUUGUCCGGAUUUAUUGGGCGUAAAGGGCUCGUAGGUGGUUGAUCGCGUCGGAAGUGUAAUCUUGGGGCUUAACCCUGAGCGUGCUUUCGAUACGGGUUGACUUGAGGAAGGUAGGGGAGAAUGGAAUUCCUGGUGGAGCGGUGGAAUGCGCAGAUAUCAGGAGGAACACCAGUGGCGAAGGCGGUUCUCUGGGCCUUUCCUGACGCUGAGGAGCGAAAGCGUGGGGAGCGAACAGGCUUAGAUACCCUGGUAGUCCACGCUGUAAACGGUGGGUACUAGGUGUGGGGUCCAUUCCACGGGUUCCGUGCCGUAGCUAACGCUUUAAGUACCCCGCCUGGGGAGUACGGCCGCAAGGCUAAAACUCAAAGGAAUUGACGGGGCCCCGCACAAGCGGCGGAGCAUGCGGAUUAAUUCGAUGCAACGCGUAGAACCUUACCUGGGUUUGACAUGGAUCGGGAGUGCUCAGAGAUGGGUGUGCCUCUUUUGGGGUCGGUUCACAGGUGGUGCAUGGCUGUCGUCAGCUCGUGUCGUGAGAUGUUGGGUUAAGUCCCGCAACGAGCGCAACCCUUGUUCACUGUUGCCAGCACGUUAUGGUGGGGACUCAGUGGAGACCGCCGGGGUCAACUCGGAGGAAGGUGGGGAUGACGUCAAGUCAUCAUGCCCCUUAUGUCCAGGGCUUCACGCAUGCUACAAUGGCUGGUACAGAGAGUGGCGAGCCUGUGAGGGUGAGCGAAUCUCGGAAAGCCGGUCUCAGUUCGGAUUGGGGUCUGCAACUCGACCUCAUGAAGUUGGAGUCGCUAGUAAUCGCAGAUCAGCAACGCUGCGGUGAAUACGUUCCCGGGGCU
rnacentral:rRNA from 1 species